ensembl:lncRNA
GGUGUGCCGUGUCUGAAGUGGUGUGUCUGCACAAUAAAUCGUUUGAAGUGAAGUUACAGAGUGUGGGGAAGAUAUGUAGAGUUAAUGCCGGACGCUCACCACCCCGAGAGCCCACCACCGUCACCGUAAUCCACACCCAGGCACUGACCGAAGCAUCUCCCAGCCAUCGCAGGAUCCUCUGGGCUGAACGCCGCAUGUGAUGUCCCUAUGAAAGGAGGUGGACACACGAAUUAUUCCUUUCUCGGUCUUAACUGAAGCAUCUCCCAGCCGUAAGCCCAUCACCCAUUAAAGACUACAUACCUGCUGUCGAUUGCUUACUCUGCUGUGCAGAUCGUAGGAUCCCCUGGGACGAAUGCUGCAUGUGAUGUCCCUAUGAAAAGAGAUUGCAGGAUCCUCUGGGCUGGACGCUGCAUGUGAUGUCCCUGUAAAAGGAGGUGGACACACGAAUUAUUCCUUUCUCGGUCUUAACUGAAGCAUCUCCCAGCCGUAAGCCCAUCACCCAUUAAAGACUACAUACCUGCUGUCGAUUGCUUACUCUGCUGUGCAGAUCGUAGGAUCCCCUGGGACGAAUGCUGCAUGUGAUGUCCCUAUGAAAAGAGAUUGCAGGAUCCUCUGGGCUGGACGCUGCAUGUGAUGUCCCUGUAAAAGGAGGUGGACACGAGAAUUAUUCCUUUUCCCGGUCUCGACCGAAACAUCCACGAGCUCUACUUACCCGGAUAUCCCCCCCUCAUUCCGGGACGGGUGACAGACUAUCCUGGCUCUUGCCGGCCCCGUACAGGCACGAACUGCCGACGACUCCACGCCUCCCCGGCGUCCGAGGUCUGGCUUCGUUCUGGUCGGGAGACACGGAAGGAACACUGAACUUUUUAAAUUGCUUUUUAACCA